rnacentral:rRNA from 1 species
UACGGAGGGGGCUAGCGUUGUUCGGAAUUACUGGGCGUAAAGCGCACGUAGGCGGCUUUCUAAGUCGGGGGUGAAAUCCUGGAGCUCAACUCCAGAACUGCCUUCGAUACUGGAAGCUCGAGUCCGGGAGAGGUGAGUGGAACUGCGAGUGUAGAGGUGAAAUUCGUAGAUAUUCGCAAGAACACCAGUGGCGAAGGCGGACUCACUGGCCCGGUACUGACGCUGAGGUGCGAAAGCGUGGGGAGCA